CCAGGAGACUAUCAGCUAGACAGAAGGUGAUUUUUUUUAUUUAUUAUUAUUUAUUUAUUUAUUUAUUUCAUGCAUGGAAAUUGAAGUAGCCUAAAUCAUUGCCCACAUUAGUCCGUAUAAUAAUCUGUAUAAUAUCGCAGUUGAAUUGUUUGUGUUGUAUUGUGUUAAGAAAUGUUUUGUUUAAAUGUAAAAUAUUUUGUUAUUAUGAUUAUACAAAGAUAUUUACAAAAACAUUGCCUACAUAUUUGCCAAGACAGAAAUUUAAAUAUUCAUAUAAAACCAAAUAUUGCAUGCACUAUACACUUAAAGCAUGUGAAGCUGCAAAGUAAAGUGAUACUAAAGGAUUUGAAUGAUUACAGUUAUGCAUUAAAUUAACUUUGCCAAUUUCAGGCAAAGGAAACCUCAAGUACUGGAUCGUUAUGCCCCACCAGGUCCCAGAUGAUGAGGUCCCAUCUCCCCUCAAGCAGGACAUCCUUGACUUACAGCUGAUUUGUAGAGAACGAUCCUUGGAGGAUUCAAAGGCAAAUAUGGACAUUUCCGUGCCUUCAGAUGUUACCAAGCACCUAGCCAAACAGUCACUGUCUACAAAGAAAUCGGUGGUAAGUAUUUGUCAUAAUGCCCCUUCUGCCCCGCCAGAGACAACAUAGCCAACACGCACAGUAAACACACAUUAGUUUGGUUGUGCUUUAUCUGACGGUAGCCUGCGAUUCAGUAAGCUCAAUUUAAUUAAAAUUUAACGGUUUGUUUUCCCUUCUUAAUAUAAAAUGUUGCUUAAUAUAUGCUUAAUAGAAAACAUUAUUAAUAGAAAAUAUUAGCUUUGUUGUUACGUUAGUGUUGUUAAUUUCUACACUGCUCUUACCCAGUAUUUGAAAUGAAUUCCGUUUUGUGAANGCAUGCGCCAGGAGACUAUCAGCUAGACAGAAGGUGAUUUUUUUUUAUUUUUUUUUUUAUUUUUUUUUUAUUAUUUCAUGCAUGGAAAUUGAAGUAGCCUAAAUCAUUGCCCACAUUAGUCCGUAUAAUAAUCUGUAUAAUAUCGCAGUUGAAUUGUUCGUGUUGUAUUGUUAAGAAAUGUUUUGUUUAAAUGUAAAAUAUUUUGUUAUUAUGAUUAUACAAAGAUAUUUACAAAAACAUUGCCUACAUAUUUGCCAAGACAGAAAUUUAAAUAUUCAUAUAAAACCAAAUAUUGCAUGCACUAUACACUUCUUAAAGCAUGUGAAGCUGCAAAGUAAAGUGAAACUAAAGGAUUUGAAUGACUACAGUUAUGCAUUAAAUUAACUUUACCAAUUUCAGGCAAAGGUAACCUCAAGUACUGGCCCCGUUAUGCCACACCAGGUCCCAGAUGAUGAGGUCCCAUCUCCCCUCAAGCAGGACAUCCUUGACUUACAGCUGAUUUGUAGAGAACGAUCCUUGGUAAGUGUGUGUUUUUAAAAAUUCAAAGCUAUUGCAAUAAUUUAUAACAACAGACUAUUUCUUACAACCUGAACAGGAGGAUUCAAAGGCAAAUAUGGAAAUUUCCGUGCCUUCAGAUGUUACCAAGCACCUAGCCAAACAGUCACUGUCUACAAAGAAAUCGGUGGUAAGUAUUUGUCAUAAUGCCCCUUCUGCCCCGCCAGAGACAACAUAGCCAACACGCACAGUAAACACACA
ensembl:lncRNA